AGCUGCUUCGUUACUUCGACGAGGAACAGGUGAUCCUCACCCAGCUGCUGCCUCUUCUCUCCUCUCUGGAAGAGUGAGCACCUUGGCAGAGGUGCAGCUGCCUGCUCUCUUCUCCCACUCGUGUUUCUGACCUCCUACCUGCCAGAAGAUUUUUUUUGGGGUGCUUCUGAUCUGAGGAAGAGCCUCACCAGCAGGAGCCAGGUUUCCCCCACCACGCUCCUUUGGUUUUAUUGCCUUUUCUUCUGUGGAUGACUCCUCGUUCCAAGCAACAAAAAAACUAAAGCCACCAGCACUGAA